UCGAACGAGAGAUGAGGAGCUUGCUCUUCAAAUCGAGUGGCGAACGGGUGAGUAACGCGUGAGGAACCUGCCUCAAAGAGGGGGACAACAGUUGGAAACGACUGCUAAUACCGCAUAAGCCCACGGCUCGGCAUCGAGCAGGGGGAAAAGGAGCAAUCCGCUUUGAGAUGGCCUCGCGUCCGAUUAGCUAGUUGGUGAGGUAAUGGCCCACCAAGGCGACGAUCGGUAGCCGGACUGAGAGGUUGAACGGCCACAUUGGGACUGAGACACGGCCCAGACUCCUACGGGAGGCAGCAGUGGGGAAUAUUGCACAAUGGGGGAAACCCUGAUGCAGCGACGCCGCGUGGAGGAAGAAGGUCUUCGGAUUGUAAACUCCUGUUGUUGAGGAAGAUAAUGACGGUACUCAACAAGGAAGUGACGGCUAACUACGUGCCAGCAGCCGCGGUAAAACGUAGGUCACAAGCGUUGUCCGGAAUUACUGGGUGUAAAGGGAGCGCAGGCGGGAGAACAAGUUGGAAGUGAAAUCCAUGGGCUCAACCCAUGAACUGCUUUCAAAACUGUUUUUCUUGAGUAGUGCAGAGGUAGGCGGAAUUCCCGGUGUAGCGGUGGAAUGCGUAGAUAUCGGGUGGAACACCAGUGGCGAAGGCGGCCUACUGGGCACCAACUGACGCUGAGGCUCGAAAGUGUGGGUAGCAAACAGGAUUAGAUACCCUGGUAGUCCACACCGUAAACGAUGAUUACUAGGUGU
rnacentral:rRNA from 1 species